rnacentral:rRNA from 1 species
GACGAACGCUGGCGGCGUGCUUAACACAUGCAAGUCGAACGGAAAGGCCCUGCUUUUGUGGGGUGCUCGAGUGGCGAACGGGUGUGUAACACGUGAGUAACCUGCCCUUGACUUUGGUAUAACUUCAGGAAACUGGGUCUAAUACCGGAUAGGAGCUCCUGCUGCAUGGUGGGGUUUGGAAAGUUUCGGCGGUUGGGUAUGGACUCGCGGCUUAUCAGCUUGUUGGUGGGGUAGUGGCUUACCAAGGCUUUGACGGGUAGCCGGCCUGAGAGGGUGACCGGCCACAUUGGGACUGAGAUACGGCCCAGACUCCUACGGGAGGCAGCAGUGGGGAAUAUUGCACAAUGGGCGGAAGCCUGAUGCAGCAACGCCGCGUGCGGGAUGACGGCCUUCGGGUUGUAAACCGCUUUCGCCUGUGACGAAGCGUGAGUGACGGUAAUGGGUAAAGAAGCACCGGCUAACUACGUG